rnacentral:tRNA from 1 species
AAUUUUGUUACAUAGAGGUUUUGAAAACCUUUUUAGAGAAAUAUUAUAUUCUCAACAAUUU